UGCAGUCGUACGGGAUUCUUAAUUUCAAGUGGCGGACGGGUGAGUAACACGUCAAGAAUUCCCCUUCAGGAGGGGGAUAACAACUCGGAAACGGCUCGCUAAUACCCCAUAUGCUCCUCGAGUGAAAUGGGUUUCCGCCUAAAGAGAAGCUUGCGGCUGAUUAGCUUGUUGGUAGAGUAAUAGCCUACCAAGGCGACGAUCAGUAUCUGGUUUGAGAGGACGAUCAGACACACUGGAACUGAGACACGGUCCAGACUCCUACGGGAGGCAGCAGUAGGGAAUUUUCCGCAAUGGGCGAAAGCCUGACGGAGCAAUACCGCGUGAGGGAUGACUGCCUAUGGGUUGUAAACCUCUUUUUUCAGGGAGGAAAAAAAUGACGUUACCUGAAGAAUAAGCAUCGGUUAACUCCGUGCCAGCAGCCGCGGUAAGACGGGGGAUGCAAGUGUUAUCCGGAAUCACUGGGCGUAAAGCGUUUGUAGGUGGUUUAGUAAGUCUGUUAUUAAAUCUUGAAGCUUAACUUCAAAACUGUAAUAGAAACUACUAGACUUGAGGAUAGUAGGGGUAAAGGGAAUUUCCAGUGGAGCGGUGAAAUGCGUAGAGAUUGGAAGGACCACCGAUGGCGAACGCACUUUACUGGGCUAUUUCUGACACUAAGAGACGAAAGCUAGGGUAGCAAAUGGGAU
rnacentral:rRNA from 1 species